UCUUAACCAAACCUUUACUAAUAGCAACCUCUCGCAUUCGCUUUGGAAUUAGGAUUUACGUUUUCUUUCUACCACCUCUUCUGAUGCUUACGUUUUGGUUCUGCAAUCAAAGCUUCGGUUUCCAUUCCACCCCUUCUUCUAACCUCAUUCGUUAUGUUUCAGUAAUAAGGGAACUGAUCCGCAGCAUCAGAGAGAUAGCUUGCGGUAGAGGACUCAAUUCUCUCAGAUGCUUCUCCGUCGCUUUCAUCACCAAAAUCGCAGUCCACUCUGCCCCGUCGAGAUGUCUCCUUCGCCGUAGCCAGGUUAGAUCUCUGUUGACAUCUCUCCCUUUGUUGGAUUGUCCCACUUUCAGAGUUUCAGGCUGUGAUAAAAUUUCGCCCUUCAUGUUGCCUGCGCUUGCCAUGUUCCGUUCGCAAUUCAUGGUCGCUUGAGUUGCUAUCCCUGUUCCAUCAAUCUGUAGUGUGAAUUUCCAACCGCUCUGUUUUUUUCCCGAUUUCUCUUGAUUCAGAUACAGACAUACAGUUGUUUACCAUGACUUCUCGAUCAUUCAUGUGCUGCUGCUAGGUUUGUGUUUCAUUUCUUCCUGGCUUUAGUUCUCAAGUUCCUUAAUUUCCUUCAAGCCUUUCUUGGGGUUUCAAUUCUGCUCUGUCUGUAUGGUUGCUGAAUCAAUGGGACCAUCGUACCUGCCAUCAAUGUCAAUUCUCUCAACCUCCUUGCUCCUUGGUUGGUACCUUUUAUUUAUUUCAGUCACUGUUGAAUUUUCUCUAAUAUUGUUUGGUAAUUUUAUUCUGACAGAUGGUAGAAAACUUGAUCCUAUUGCCACACCCUUCUUCACCGAUUCGAUGAUGAACAUGAUGAUGUCGUAGUUGCAUUCUACCUUCCGCAUCGUGGAAGAAGAUUGGAUGCAUGGAGGUCCUAUGUUAAUAAUUUAUCAUCAGAUUCAGCUCCUCGCUAUCCAUUGUGCCAACAAGUGUCCUAAUACAUGAUAUUAUGCAUAAUAGAAAAGCAGUGUCACAUCGUGAUAACAAAUAACUGUUCAUAUGCCACUGGAAAUGGAUUUUGUACACUAUUUUUGUAGAGCUUUGAGAUUUUGUAUAGAUCAGAGAAUAAAGGAUCCAAACUGAAGCUGCAAAUAGUGAUUAGAAAGGAAAACAAGAAUCUACCCAAGUUCGUUUAAUUGAUUUGAGGCUAAAUUGUGGAUUUAACUCAUUGAGAAUGAGGACUCAGAUUUGUGAUUAUUUGAAUAGUUUUGCCUGAUAGGCUUGAAUGGCAGGAUUGGAUCUUAUCAUCAUAUCUGGGCGCGUGCUAUGACUUCUUUCAUCAGAUUUGCAUUGCAUUGAUGUUCAUGUGGGAAAGCUAUUGAAGGGCUUUAUUGGGAGAGGUAAAUCUGCACUUUUGUGCAUAUGCUUCCAUAUUUUUCUUAUUUGAGAAAAUUGCCUAAUUGAAGUGUUGCUUUAUGCAAUGAUUUUUUGUGGUCUAAUUCUGGUGUGGAAAGAUAGGAAAAAAUAUCAGUUUGUUAGGGAAUCUUUUGUUUUCUCAUGUUAUGAACAUAAUUGAGAAUAAGAGGUGAAGCUUAUGAACCAUAUUUUUCAGACAAAUGCAAAUUUGGGCCAGGAAAAACUUCAACAGUGGCAGGAUAUAAGUAGUUCACGUAGUUAAUUUGCUAAUUUUAGGAAAUCAAGUUGGAAGAAGGUGGACUACAAAACCAGUUGGUUAUUUUCCUGUUAUUUUCUGCCUAAUAGGAUUUUCCAACUAUACUUAUUUGCUUGGCUUAUUCUUACAAUUUUCAUAUUAGAAGCUAAUAGUUCAGUAAAUGUGAUAAGUGGUAGACUUUCUAAAAAUUGGUGCAUGCAAGCUGUGAUGGGGGCAUGACUGCAACCUGAGUUGAGGUUUGUGGUGGGAAACCACCAUCAAAAAGUCCCAUGGGCUCAAUGGGAAUCACAGGUUGUUGAAUAGCUUUCAGAGGAAUAUCACCUUGAAGACCAACAUCACCUUCAGAACCACUAUGAUUUUUUUAAUGGUGGAAUUAGGGGUUUUAUUUUUUAAACCUGAAAUGUUUUGAUGAUUAUGAUUUUUGGUUAGAAGAACGGAAAUGUCAGGUUAGAAUUAGUAAGAUCUGAAACGUUAGCUUCAAAUUCUGUUACAUUUGAAUAACAACACUCUCUCACAUGAAGAGAUAUACUUAAUUUAUAUUUAUAUCACUCAUUAAAUCACUCAUUAAUAUAUACAAAAUGGUAGUGUCUGUCAAAAAUAAAAUAUACAAAUGGUAGCAAUGCAUAGAAAAUAAUUUUUUCCAAGACUUUAUAUUCGCAGAAAAGUUGUAUGUUGAUGCUGACUAUGUGGGCAGCUCUUGUCAUCUAAGUGAAAACUUGUAUCUUCCCUGCAAUCUUUCACACUUUAAUUUAUAAUUUUAAUUUGGGGUUGUCUAAAUGACCCAUGAUAAAGUUUGGGUUAAAUAACCCACCAUCCA